rnacentral:rRNA from 1 species
UACGGAGGAUGCGAGCGUUAUCCGGAUUUAUUGGGUUUAAAGGGUGCGUAGGCGGCUUUUUAAGUCAGCGGUGAAAUUUUGCAGCUUAACUGUAAAAGUGCCUUCGAAACUGGUUUCCUUGAGUGUAGAUGAAGUAGGCGGAAUUUGUGGUGUAGCGGUGAAAUGCAUAGAUAUCACGAGGAACUCCGAUUGCGCAGGCAGCUUACUAAACCAUAACUGACGCUCAGGCACGAAGGCGUGGGGAUCAAACAGGAUUAGAUACCCGGGUAGUCCCUGA